GACAGAGGGGGCGAGCGUUGUCCGGAGUCACUGGGCGUAAAGCGCGCGCAGGCGGUCGCCAAAGUGUCGUGUGAAAGCCCCCGGCUCAACCGGGGGAGGGCAUGGGAAACUCGGCGACUGGAGAGGCGGAGAGGCCCCUCGAAUGGGCGGUGUAGCGGUGAAAUGCGUAGAUAUGGGCAGGAAGACCGAUGGGGAAGCCAGGGGGCUGGCCGCAGGUUGACGCUGAGGCGCGACAGCGUGGGUAGCGAACAGG
rnacentral:rRNA from 1 species